UGGGGAAUAUUGGACAAUGGGCGCAAGCCUGAUCCAGCCAUGCCGCGUGUGUGAAGAAGGCCUUAUGGUUGUAAAGCACUUUAAGCGAGGAGGAGGCUACUUUAGUUAAUACCUAGAGAUAGUGGACGUUACUCGCAGAAUAAGCACCGGCUACUCUGUGCCAGCAGCCGCGGUAAUACAGAGGGUGCAAGCGUUAAUCGGAUUUACUGGGCGUAAAGCGCGCGUAGGCGGCUAAUUAAGUCAAAUGUGAAAUCCCCGAGCUUAACUUGGGAAUUGCAUUCGAUACUGGUUAGCUAGAGUGUGGGAGAGGAUGGUAGAAUUCCAGGUGUAGCGGUGAAAUGCGUAGAGAUCUGGAGGAAUACCGAUGGCGAAGGCAGCCAUCUGGCCUAACACUGACGCUGAGGUGCGAAAGCAUGGGGAGCAAACAGG
rnacentral:rRNA from 1 species